ensembl:lncRNA
GUUCUAGAAUAAGCCGCAGAGGACUAGAGGUUCAAAAUAAACAAGCAAAAAGACUUCAGAGCAGGGUGUGGAGGCACAGGCACAGGGCAUGGUGCCUCAUGACUUGGUAGACUGAGGAAGAAGGAGCAGAAGUCGAAGCCCUCUGUGACAUGCAAGUUCGAUGCCAACUUGGGCCACACACACAUUGGUCUCAAUGAACAAACCAUGAGCAGACAGCAUCUCCAGAAGGCUCACACAGGAAGAGACUCCAUACCAGAACAUACGGGAGGGAGGAGCAGGAAGUCCCUGAUUCGAAGGAUGCUCUGAGCCCAGCCUCCUUCUCCAUCCCUUCCUCCACCCGCUCCCUCAACUUCAGGACCUAUGACUGGAGACAGAGACCGUGCUCCAGACUUUGCAAUCAGAGAUGUUUUCACCCAAAGCCAGGGGUCAGAUCUCCAAAACGAGCCCUACAAUCAGCCUUCCAGAGUUGGCCUGGAGUGCUCACCCUUCGCUCGCCUCGUUAGAAGAAUCCCAUGCACACGCUGAAGCCAGCUGAGAAUCCCUGCUAAGCUUUCGGGCAGCUGGGAGAAGCAAAGUUGGAUCCCUGCCUAAAUCCCUGGGAGAGCCCACGCUCUGUUGCCAGCACCUUGACUGGAACAUCAAUAUUGGACAUCUGGCCUCGGACCUAGGAAAGAACCAAUCUACACGAGCCAGUAUUGUCGCCAGCGUGUGAACAAAGAGAGCCGACUCCUGGGUAGAGCAGCACACUCCAAGGCAUAGGCAUGGGACAGAGCCAGGUAUGGACCACAUCCAUGUCACCUUCUAAAAAUGCCUUACUGGCUCCAACGAACCGACACAUGGCUCGUUAGCCUUCAGGAAGAAUCUAGAAAUGCUGCCCCAGUAACAUUCAGCAAGCAGAGGGAGCUCUCGGCCUGUCCAUCGACAGUGACACUGUCACCAUGGCGGCCCUCUACCCUCCAUCCUCUUCAGCAUUGAAGCUGUUACGGCUUUAAUGUAAGACAUCUCAGGUCCACGCGAUGGGACAGUCUCCACCUUGUGGCACUGCUUUGGGAGGUUGUGAACCGUGACAUGAUGGGGUCUGGCCGGAGGAUGUGGGUCACUAAAUAAACAGGCUUUGAGGUUUAACUAGUGGCUCCAAGUCAACUCCUCUGCCCUUGAUUUGCUGAGGUGUGAGCAAGCUCUUCCUGCCACAGAGCUGCCUGCCACCGCGACGCCUCCACCAUGUCUCCUAAAACAAGAUAAGCCUCUUCUAAACUGCUUCAAAGCCCUUGACAACUGCACCAGGCAAAAGAGCUAUGUAAGGAAAAGCCGUAGCUGGCCUUCCCUAAGGCAUCUCUCAUUUCACUGUAACCCCAGAACUGCUGCUAGCAUCCCGAAGUGUGCAUUAUGUGCCUACCCCGGUGGUGCUCCUGACAAGCUGCUACUAGAAACCAGACAUGGAGGAUUAUGGGUAAUGGAGGUUCUCAAUGAACACAUCACUCACCAUUCAAGUCUGAAAUACACCUCCACCUCCACACUUCACUAUAAUACCAACCCAAUUAAUAACGAUCGGUGGGAAUUAUGAAACAUCUGUUGAACAUACUGGUGUGGAGACCAGGAUUCUACUCAGGAAAGGAUGCAGUGACAGCUACCAGAAGGGCACAGUACCCUGUGAAAUAAUCACCGAAGACUUGAAAUGAUACUCAACUUGUGAUGCCUGAUCACGAGGGACAUGCAAAUCAAGCCACAAUGUGAUAUCAUUCCAGUCACUCAGACGGCCAUCAUCAGAGCACAGGGGGCG